rnacentral:misc_RNA from 2 species
ACACCCCUCAAGCCCCCGGGCUUGGUGUUGGGGAUCGGGAACAGCGGAUCGGCCCCCCGGGGCCGCGAAGCCCCCGUCCCCCAAAUGCAUCGGCGGUCACGCCGCGGCCUCUUGCGCGUAGUAGCUAACACCUCGCGCCGGAGCCCGUCGUGGUCCACGCCGCUAAACCCCCGACUUUUUACA